GCCGGGAAUGGUGGCUCAUGCCUGUAAUCCCAAUACUUUGGGAGGCCGAGGUGGGCGGAUCACCUGAGGUCAGGAGUUCGAGACCAGCCUGACCAACAUGGUGAAACCCCAUCUCUC
rnacentral:SRP_RNA from 1 species